rnacentral:lncRNA from 1 species
UAAAGUCCCAUCUCAUUUAAAUAUCUAAUUCAGAUAUGAGUGAGAUUCAAAGUAUGUUUUAUCCUAAAGCAAAUUGCUCUCGAGCUGUGAAUCUGUAAAAUGAAACUUCAUGUGCUUCCAAAAUUCAGUGGGGGGACAGGCUUAUGAUAGACAUUGCCAUUCUCAAACAGAAAAAUAGGGAUGUGAGGGUGAUCUGGGUAGCUGGGCGUGUUUCCCCUUUCUUCUUCACUGCUCCAUGUGCUCAGUUGAUGAGAAUGGCCUCCCCAAUAGAGGAGGACUUUCUUCAGUCAAGAGCAUAUGAGUAACUGUGCUCCCCUGCUAGAACCUCCAAACAAGCUCUCAAAAGGGAGAAAUAGGAAAAAAGAAAGGAGAAAGUAGUGACAGUUUCUGAGCAAGUCUAAAACCAAUCUGUGGCUCAAUGCUCUAUUUUCUAGGGCUACUGGAAAUGCUGUCCUGCCUUCCAGAACCACUAAGGUGUGGGUACAACUCCUACAGCCUUUCCGUGCAUGGAUUGGGCCACAAGGCUCCAGGUGUCCCUGCACUCACAUUCUAGCUCACACAGAUUGGGCAUGUGCCUGCUGCCCUUCCUGGCUGGAAGUGGAUACAGGUGGCUCUACCAGUCUAGGGUCUCAGUUGUGACACUCCCUGCAUGACUCCAUUAAGCAUUGUUCUGUGGGGUUCUGUGUUAGGGCCCCAAGCCUAGCCAUGGCUGUCUGUGGCAUCAUUUGAAAUCUAGGUGAAGGAAGCCAUGCCCUCACAGCUACGCUAGAUACAGUACACACAGCAUCUGGGCCUAUAGGAGCCAUAUCUGAGACAGCUGACAAGUACAGCAAAAGGGUGAUAUGAGGAGGUACCAGGCAGAAAUCUUAACAUAUCCUCAUCUUAGAACUUUUGGACCUCUUGGUGUGUGAUAUGGUUUGCCUCUGUCUCCACUGAAAUCUCGUCUUGAAUUGUAGCUCUCAUAAUUCCCAUGUGUUGUUGGAGGGAUCCCAUGGGAGAUAAUUGAAUCAUGGGGGUGGUUCCUCCCAUACUGUUCUCAUGGUAGUGAAUAAGUAUCAUGAAAUCUGAUGGUUUUAUAAGGGAAAACCCCUUGUGCUUGGCUCUCAUUAUCUCUUGCCUGCGGCUAUGUGAGACCUGCCUUUCGC